rnacentral:rRNA from 1 species
UACGGAGGAGGCAAGCGUUAAUCGGAAUUACUGGGCGUAAAGGGUGCGUAGGCGGUUGUUUAAGUCUGUCGUGAAAUCCCCGGGCUCAACCUGGGAAUGGCGAUGGAUACUGGGCAGCUAGAGUGUGUCAGAGGAUGGUGGAAUUCCCGGUGUAGCGGUGAAAUGCGUAGAGAUCGGGAGGAACAUCAGUGGCGAAGGCGGCCAUCUGGGACAACACUGACGCUGAAGCACGAAAGCGUGGGGAGCAAACAGG